ACAGUGGCUGCUAAAUUAUUUGCGCCUUGCACUUUGAUCAAUAUAUAAAAAUUAAAAUUAAAAUAAAUAGAAGAAAAGAUCAUUAAUUCUAGGACUCUCACUUGCAGAUAAAUGAGGAAAUAACUAGAAAGUACUAAAAUUAACGAGAAACUUUUCCCGUCAUUUUUCAUUCUAUACGACAAGCCCACCUCCUCCUCCUUUUUUUUUUUGGUAGAUUGUCUCUGGAAAGUGAAAUUUAACGCCACCCAGUUCUCACUGUUAGAAGACAGAGAUCUUACCACCAUAAGGUCCUUGAUAGUUUCAUCCUUAUAGUACUCAGGUUCUGAUUCUUGCAGUGUUAGCAAAACCUCAAUCAUGGUCUUGUAAUUUCUCUCAUUAGAAAAACAGCUCUUGUUAUUCCCCAUUCUUCUCCUAUGCUCAUCAACCAACUCUUGCAGAAACCCAUCUCUCUUUUCCUGCAACUUCAUCAACCUCUUCUCCGUUCCUCCUAUCACAGCGAACACAUGUAAGAAGUCUCCCACAGCUGAUGCGCCACUGACCUGGAAAGUCUCUGUCACGAUCUCUCGAAAUCUCCUCCCCUCCUCCACUUCAGCCUCGUUUUCACCGUAAUAUCUCUUUCCAGCUGUCAUCCUCAUCAUCACAUUUAGCAUGAGCUCGAAAAAUGACGAUUUCAAAUCUAUGAUCUCAUCGUUGUUUUUGAAAAGACGGCGAAUCAAAAACUUGACCUCUUCCGUGCGUAUGCUAGAAAACAACUGGAGACGGUUAGAGGAUAAGAUUUCAAGGGAGGAGAUUUUACGAAGAUUGCGCCAAAGGUCACCAUGUGGUGCCCAUGAAAGGGUCGUGUAGUUGCGGCCCAAGUGUUUUCCUGCAAGUAGGUGUGGACGAUUGGCAAAGACAAUAUCAUUCUUGGUAAAACAUUCUUCUGCAGCUGAAGGGGAGGAAACUACAAGAACACGACGGGAGCCAAGCUGUAGGAGUACUACAGGGCCGUGCCUGUUUGAUAUCUUGGAUAGGGAUCGGUGGAGGGGUUUCUUGAGGAGAUGGAGAUGGCCUAUUAUGGGGAGAGCAGGGAAUGGGCUUGGUGGGAGGUUUUGGAUCUUGUUGCGGAAGUGUUUGGUAAGUACAUAGAGAACUAGAUAGAGGAGCAGAAAGUGCAAGAACAUGGUGGUUUACUGUUUAUACAAGAACAGACUAGCUCUGUCAAGACCGGAGAUUGUUAUGCUGGUUGGGGUUGCAAACAAGCAGAUAUAUAACACAUUUUAGCCUGCCUAGACACGGAAUUAAGGAGAUAUUUCCUUAAUGAAAAAGAUAGGUUCCGAAAGAAAGUUUCUACCAUUCAUUAAUAAUCAAUAAUCGAUCUUGACCCACCACCUCUUCCCGCAAAGUCGUCUUCCAUAACAGAUCUGGACCAACCACCUAUUCCCCUAUCUUUGUUUUACGGUUAAAAAUUGUUUUUAAGAAUCUUUAAUUUUUUUAAAUUAAUUUUAUUUAUAUUUUUUAUUGUUUUAAUGUAUUACUGUUAAAAAUUAAUUUUAAAAAAUAAAAAUAUAUAUUAUUUUAAUAUAUUUUUAAAUAAAAAAUACUUUAAAGAAGUUGAGAAACUCUAUUUCUGUCAACAUGUUGCUCCUUCUCAUUUCAUAACGUUACGGCAGAGCUAGAAAGGUUUUUCAAUGGGAUCAACUAACGGUUUCUAAAAUCAAAAUCACGACUAAGUAUUAGUGGUGGCGACUAAUUUUUAUUUAUAUUUUUUGUUUCCAAACCAUUUUAUCGUUUGAAACGACUGUCCAUGACAAAUAGGUUACCAUAAUGUUAUUUAACGAUAAAGUCUUAUAUUUUUUAAUUAUAUUUAAUUUUUAUAUUUUAAAUGUGACAUAAAAUAAAAUUGUUAGUUAUGCCGGAUUCUUUAUACUAAUAUAUAACAUAUUUCAUCACAGGGGAUGCUAAUUAAAAAGAAAGUCUUCUUAAGUUUUCAGAUAUCAGCGUACGUGAGCUAUAUAUUUUUAUUUUUCCCUCGCAAGAAAACCAAAAAAGAAAAUUCCAAUUUGAAAAGGAAGGUUCAUCGUGGAGCCCUGGGCACAGUAAACCAGCUCCCUCUUUCAUGUCCACCAUUUGCUUUGCCUGUCCUCUCGUCUCCCGUUCAAAGCAUUGAAGCAGCGACCCCAAGGCUAUGCCGAAAACUGCAAGCGUGAGAAACUAUAGACCAAAACAACGAAGUGUCGUCAGGUUUGAGAGAGUUGAUUCACCAUUGCGGGGCGUGGUCUACAUUUUGCCCACAAAUUUUGGGCCUUAGGCAUUGUGAGCCCAGUUCCUUCACUCAUGUCCACAAGUUCCCCACAGACUCUCUCCCACUCGAAACACUGAAUAAGAGAUCCUAAAGCCAGCCCAAUUAUCCUUGUAGCUAAGCCCUCCCCUGGACAGCCUCUCCUCCCAGCCCCGAACGGUAAAUAUAUGAACCCAUCUCUUUUUCCCUCUGGGCCAUGAAACCUUUCUGGCUUAAACUUUGUGGGCUCCUCCCAUAAGUUGGGAUCAUUGUGUACAGACCGCAUAUUCACUAAGAGCAUGGUGCCUCGUGGGACUCGAAAACCUCCAACAGUGCACUCCUCUGAUGACUCAUGGGGCGGGAGCAGUGGGGCGGGAGGGUACAUUCGGAGAGUCUCUUUGAUGAUGCCUUGGAGAUAGGGAAGCUUGAGAAGGUCUGAUUCUUCCAAUAAUGGUAUCAAUUUCGAUCUGGGCCUUCAUCAAGGCCUGUGGAUUGUUCAGCAAGAGUGACAAUGCCCACUCCAUGGUCCCAGCUGAGGUGUCCGUCCCCGCAGAUAAGAUUACCUGUGUUAGAAUAUUAAGCAAAACGAAGAUGAAUGGGCCUCGUUAACUUUUGAGUGCUACAUCAAUUGACAAGCUUAAAGGGCUAGCCUGCCAGGCACGCCACAUCACGAGAGAAUUUUACUUGCAUAUCAACGGCAACCAAUUCGUCUUUAAAUGUAUGAAGCAAUGAACACUCGUUUUCCGGGAAAAAUCUCAAAGACUAGUUAUCUCUAAUUAAUUUGCUUGUUUAAUUGGGAAAUAUGAAUUGGUAGUCACGAUUUGAAAUAUCUGUGAAUCAAAACUCUUGUGCAAGUUUCAAUUGUAAUAUCCGAUAAGAAAAAGGCAUAGCCACCAGUUUUAUUCAAAUGGUCAAUUACGGCACUAGCACAAGAGGUCCACUGAAUCUAUAUUAUUGAUGGAGUUAAAUAAAAUAUUCAAACCAGAAGAGAUAAUUCAAGAUUGUGAUUUUCUUAGGGAUUUGGAGAGCUUACUGUCAUUAGGCCUCUGAUUAAUUCAUCGGUAUAAUACUCAGGUUCAGUUUCUUGCAAGGUUAGCAGGACAUUAAUCAUGGUUUUACUGCUCCCUUGAUGUGAAGCAAACUCGCUCUUAACUUUUCUAUGCUCUAGAAUCAAGUCUUGAACGAAUUCAUCCCUCUUUCUAUGCAAUAUAGCCAACCUUUUCUCAAUAUUAUUCAAUCCAAUCCAUUUCAAUGCUGGCACAAAAUCUCCAAUAUUCGUAGCUCCACUUAAUUCAAAGGUCUCUCUCACAAUUUCUUUAAACUGCCUUGCUUCGCCCAAUUCUGCUAGAUCCUCUCCAUAAUAUCGCUUUCCGGCAAUCAUCCGCGUAAUGACAUUAAGUGUCAGAUCGAAAAAAGUUGACUUGGCAUCAAUUGACAUGAACUCACCACCCCUGCAACCUUUAAAAAGCUUAUGAACCAAUAACCUGACCUCAUCAGCACGUAUAUGAUAGAACAUCUUCAGGCGAUUGGUUGAUAAGAUUUCAAGAGCAGCUAUGCGCCUUAAGUUGCGCCAGUGGUUUCCAUAUGAGGCCCAAGUAAGCGUGGUAUAGUUAUAUCCAAGAUGUUUUCCAGCAAGCAGCCGAGGUCGAUUUGCAAAAAUUAUGUCAUUUUUAGAUAAGCACUCCUCUGCAACUGAAGGGGAUGAUACGAGGAUGACAGGACGAGAGCCAAAUUGAAUGAAUAGAAUUGGACCAUAUUUGUUGGAAAGAUUGGCAAGAGUUUGAUGGAGGGGUUUCUUGAUGAGAUAGAGAUGACCAAUAAUUGGUAGAGAGAGGCCUGGACUCGGUGGAAGGUUCUUGCUGAUUUUGCAUAGGUGUUUUGAGAGGAAAUAGAACAUCAAGAAGAGCAUGAAGCAGGAGUAGAAUGAGAUUUCCAUGAAGAGAGUUACCAAUAUUUUCUGUAAUUCAGAAACUCUCAAUAGUUCAGGUCUUCAGGGCCUUUAUUCAUGCAUCGCACUUCAGCCUUCUUUGCAUAUAAGACAGAAGCAGGAGGAGAAAUAGAAUUUAACUAGGUUAUUGAUUGUUCCGCGUUGGAUGCGGGUCGGACAAUUGUUUUUUAAAACAUGAAAAAUGUAUACAUUGUCGAAGUAUUUUUUUAUUUUCAAGAAAAAUUUUGAUUAUAAACUCAAUCAUUUAAUGUACAAAGUAAAGUAUUUUUUUAAAAAAUAUCCAAGCUAACUCGUCAAAUUCGUAGCUUAGGCCAUUCGAUCAGAAUAAUCCAAUAGAAAAGAAAAAUAAAAAAAAUCUCAAAGCUCUUUUUUUUUUAAUUAAAAAAAAAACAUUGUUGAGUGAUGAAAGCUGCAAAUAAGAUACAUAAAAAACAAACAAAAAAUGUCAGCUCGCGUUAACUUUUCAAACUCAUGACUUGAGUCAUUAAAUCAGAAAUACGCCAUCUAGAAAAACUAAAAAGUUCAAUUCUCAACCAAUCAAAUAUUGAAAGAUAAAAUUGAAAAAAAAGAUUCAAUUAUACAAAAAGGAUCCAAAAAAUAACAAUUAAAAGAAUAAGGAUCAAAAUAAAAAUAAAAAAUAAAUCUACUUUUUAUGGAAGGGUGAAAUUGAAAAGAAAAUAAAAUUAACAAAGGGACCCAAAAGAGAGAAAAAAAGAGUAAAAAAGAAUGAGGAUCGAAAUUGAAAUAAAAAAUAAAAACAAAAUUUUGAUUGAAUGGUUAAAUUAAAAAAAAUCAAUUUAACAAAAAAACAAAAAAAAAACAAUCAAACAAUGAAAAUCACAUUGAAAAAAAUAAUAUAUCAUAAUUUGGGAUUAAAGGAUGUAAUUAAAAACAAAACAAAUUUUAAUAAAAAAAUAAAAAAUAAAUAAUGAUCAACUUUGAAAUCUUAAAACAAUAGAGGAAAACCCUGAAAUUUUGCAUGGGCAACAUGGUUUUUGAAGGGAGGAAAGAGAAAAGUGAGGGGAAAGAAAAAAAAAUUACCAACGACGAACUGUAUCAUAAACAACAAUACGUGUCGUCUUAUAAGAAACAUAAUGAAUCGUCGCAUCUAAUGACAUGGUGAAAGUUGUUUUUUGACUGGCAGGAGGCGCUGUACUCACCGCCUGAAAGGCGUGAUCACCUCACUAGUACUAACUACUUUUUGUUAUUUUUUAUUAUAUUUUAUAUUUAUGAAAAUUCUAAAUUUUCCUUUAGCUCAUUUUAAUAUCGAAAGAAAUAAUGUGAAAUGAUAAAGUAUUCUUGGAUGUCAGUUUUUGUAUUUUUUUAUUUUAAGAACAAUUUGUUUUACUAUAUUUUCAAAUUAAAAAAAAGGCCUUUUACCUCUAAAAUAUCUAAAAAUAACUAAUAAACCUUAUAUAAAUACCGAACUACCUCCAGUUGCUAGUUUCAAGAUUUUUGGUGGGAAGGCAACAACCAUUGCUACGUUGUUCUAAUAAUGGUUCCAAGGAUUAUUAGCUUGUGUUUAAUAAUGGUGAAUUGUACACGAGCCUUCAGCUACUGAAGUUACAUUUACCUUGAAGCAAUGUGAGGGCUGUAAUAAGUUCAAGGAAGUGUCGGUGAUUGCGGUAGAAAUUAAUUUUUAAAAUAUUUUUUAUUAAGAAAUAUAUUAAAAUAUUAUUUUUUAAAAAAAAAAUUAUUUUUAACAUUAACAUAAUAAAAAAUAAUAAUUGUUUUCAAAAAUAUUUUUAAAAUUUAAAUGAUGCUGGUUGCAAUUUGACACGUGUCACUUCACUUUUUUGGAGAAACAACACAAAGAAAUGAGCCAAUUUCAGACUGAUAAAAUCUGUGUAGAAUGGGCUCGAUAAAGACAAAUAGUCAGCAGACAAUAAACAGAUCAAGGCGCGAGCCAGCCAAGCCGGACACAUAUAGACUAGACAUGCAGAAAUUACAGUUGCAAAUUGGACAACUAUAUGCGAUAUUUGUUUGCUUGCAAUUGUUCCUUGCAAUGUUUCCUGAAUCUGCCAAGCUAUUGUUCGAGUAAUGGGUGGGUCCGGGAUCGAAGUCACAUAUCCUCUAAGAAGUUCCAAAAUCAUUCCGUAUUUGAUAUGGAUCGUCCUUCACUAAAAGUAGAGAAUGAUAGGCAUUAGGCUGAAGUUUCUGCUGAACAAAUGUUCUUGGAAAGUUGAGGAUACUCCAACGCCUAAAUUAGCAAGAGAAUGAUAGCACGUAAGCAAGCUUGAAGAAUUGCAGUUUAGGGUGUCUUGCAGAGCUUGAGUACGCCAAGAAUAAAAAAGAAGGUUGAAGAAGAUGAAGUUCAUAAUCCUUUACCCAGAACUAAUGGCUGUUUAUGUUGGGGAAUUUCCGGCUCCCCCAUGCUCGGACCGGGGAUGUUCUGAUACUUGCUCAUCGGAGGGUUAAAACACACUGACACAAUAUUUUACGUGGUUCGGCAAAACCGCCUACAUCCACGGGAGAGAGAGUCCAUAUUAUUUAGAGAUAGAGAAAGGAUACAAUAAAUACAUGGAGGAGGAUCACUCAACUCCCAGCUCACACACCCUGCUGCAUAUGGCAGCAGGGCUGCUGCCCAUGGCAGCAACUCCUCUUUCUCUUCUUCUCUUCACGUUCUCACACACUCUCACUUCUCUCACACACACUCUCACAAAACAUGCCUCUUUUAUAGGCAAUUCUUGGCAACCUUCUCCAGCAAUAGCAAGGGGACAAUAGGUCCCGAAAUCAUGCCACUAAUUGUGGCAUUAGUGAUGCUUCCACUAAGCCACAAUUAGUGGUGGGGUAUUGCCACUAAAUGACAAUAUCCCAACAAUCACCCCCUUUGCCAUUUGUGUGGGCAAUUGUCCUUUUGCUUCUUCAGCACAAGCUUGCAUUUUGCAGCUCUUCCAAGCUUCCAUUCUGAGAGCGUCUUCAACACAACAUUCCCCUUCGAGCAUAUCAACCAUACUCGGUCCGGAAUGAUUUUUCUAGCCUUACACCAAGGCUUGCAACACCCCCUCAAACAAAUAUUUUCAAGUGCGACAGUCAUUGAGUAUUUCAAUGUGAUCACAAGCUCACCACUCUUCCAAGAGUCUACUCAUCCAGGAGUUGCGCCUGCCCUCUGUUCCACCCUAGGAACCACGCCUUACUUCUCCGUGAGUCUCUCGCUCUUAGUCGUAAGAGUCCAGGUAGCUCUCCACCUUUAACCAUGGGGGCAGCCCAUAAAGGUUGAUCCAUAUCUAUCUUCAUACUCUGAGUAUUACAAUGCCAUUACCGAGCUCACCACCUUGACAAGAGUCAACUCGUUCUCGGAACCUGCGCAUGCCCUUCUGCUUCUUCAUAGCAGCCACGUCUUAAUGCUCCACAAGUCACACACUUAUUGUCCAAGGCAAAUGUCUUCUAGCUCAUUGAUCUUUAGCAUGGGGGCAAUAUCCAUGAAAGUCAAUCCUGCAUUUGUCUCCAUACUCAUCAUAGCCACUUCAUUGGCUAUACACCUGUCCACUCAUAUCUAGCCAUCACAUUGGCUCUGGGGCGUUCUGAACUAGGCUCAUAUCAUGGCCCACACACCUUCUCCUCAGGUGUCUCCGCUCGUCGUCAUGCGGCGGUCUGAAUUGGGGCUCCUCUAAUGGCCCUCACACCUUCUCUAAGGUGUCUUCGCCCGUUAUCAUAGGGCGGUCUGAACUGGGGCUCCUCUCAUAGCCCUCACACCUUCUCUACGGUGUCUUCGCCCGUUGUCAUGGGGCGGUCGCAUCCUCCUUCAGCUGAGAUGCUUUAAAGUGGCUCCAAAAUUCUCUACCACCAUGUGCACUAUGGGAGAGAUUACUGCCACUAACUACAUAGAAAGAGAAAGUUGCGGUAUACUUCUCGCAAUCCUCCACCUCAAUUUCUAUGUUUGGAGCUUCUGUGCCUUUCUGCUUGACAGCUCCACCUACACCAACUCUCUUUGGUGUCUUCGCCUUUCAUCAUAGGCGGUUGCCUUGUAUCACAGGCAUUUGCACCCCCUCAAUUAGGUGCCUCUGCAACAGCUCUCUUUCCAUCCUUGCAUGCAUUGGAAAGGUCUUCGCAUGUUGUCUUCAUUAAGAGCACAAGAGACUUCCUGUUGUACAAACUUUAACAGUCUCUGCUCUGAGCUUCAUCUGGGAACACUUCUUCUCCUUGCACCUGUUGUCUCAUUACAGUACCUCGUUGAAUCUUACGGGUACUCAUGCACAAUCUCCGUGUGCCCUCGUGCAUUUUCUGUUCUCCAGAAUUUCUCCCUAUUCCUUGCUUAUGUUUGACAGCAGCUCAUCCUGUCACAACACCUGUCCAAGUCAAAAUAGGGUGCCAAUCUUUAUCCCCUUGCUGUAUUCCUCUUCCAUUAUCAGGGUCUUCAUCAAUUCUUCCCUUGAGAAAUCACAGUCACCGAAUCUAACUUCUUUGGAGAAAUCACCACUUCAUCAGAUCCUUGAUCAUACGGAACCCAACUGUUCCCUUGUGCCGUCGUCCUGCUAGUCUUCAACCGUUUCAUUACAAAUUGCUAUAUAUACGAAAAUAGUACCGUAUGGAUAAUCCUUCCACUAAGCAAGUUCCCAGGAAAGAUUGGAGGGGUCACACUGGUCCCGCUUAAAACCCAAUCUCCUAGACAGAACUUCUUAGGCCAUAUCUAUCCAUCGUACUGUCUUUCCGUAUAUACAACCAUUUGCUAGCUUUGUUGCGGCUUUCCUUUACAAGUGAUCUGGAAUAUACUGGUUUAAUACAUGAUUUUUCAACAUCUAGCGAGACUACCAGUUCUUAGACUCGUCAAGAUUGGUCUUCAUCAGUUUCACUCUCCACCUCAAAUUGUCCACAUAACUGGGUGUCUAGAGUGUCCCAAUUUUGCCUUCCUUCAAGGCAGUUAAAUUUCUCCCCACUUAGCAGUUCAGCACAUGCAAUUGGGUAAACAUGUGCACCUUCUUCUUCUUCAUCUCCAUUGACCACCAUGAUGACCUUCAGAUGCCUCCUGAUCGAGCAAUCUCUUUUGUUAAUUCACCACCACCACUUUCAGUCUCAAAUCUCAAUGAUCGGACCGUACCAUUGCAUCCGGAAUGAUCAAAUUAGCUGGAAACAAGUCUGAAAUCGUCCAAAUCGCACUUCAGACGGCUAAGAUUUGAUCAAAACAAUUCUGGCCUGAUCAAUGGCUCAGAUUCAAUCUCAGACCCGGUUGCACGUAGGAUCAACUACACUGGAUCCUGUCCCUCGGCUCGCGGCUCGGCUCGGCUUCAAAACGGCUCGGCUCAACUCGGCUCAACUCGGCUCGGCUCGCGGCUGAUGAUGUGGCAGGUGGGUCCCACUGUGAUGACGUGUCUGCUGACUGGUCGAUGAUAUGGCUGCUGACAUGGCAUGCUUACUGUGCAUGCUUACAUCACACUUACAUCAGGCUGAUGUCAUCCCUGGCAUGCCUACUGUGCAUGCUGACAUCACAAUUAUGUCAUGCUGACGUCAUUCAUAUCCGGGUCAGCCAUGUGGGUCGGGUCAACUGGUAUUCGGGUCGGGUCAGCCCAUCCGGGCGAAGAAGACGCGUGGGGCGCGUCUGCGCGCGUGGGCAGACGCCUUGCCGGAGAGUGAUGGAGAGUGCGGCCAUGUCCGACGUCCGAUUUUGACGCCGUUUUCACCAGUGGCUUCGUCUCGGCCUCCUCUACACAGUGGUAUGGUCAAAACACCAUUUUGAGAACUUUCAUUUUUGAGCAAAAAUCAAACACCCCUUUAAACCAUGUGCUCUGAUACCAAUUGUUGGGGAAUUUCCGGCUCCCCCAUGCUCGGACCGGGGAUGUUCUGAUACUUGCUCAUCGGAGGGUUAAAACACACUGACACAAUAUUUUACGUGGUUCGGCAAAACCGCCUACAUCCACGGGAGAGAGAGUCCAUAUUAUUUAGAGAUAGAGAAAGGAUACAAUAAAUACAUGGAGGAGGAUCACUCAACUCCCAGCUCACACACCCUGCUGCAUAUGGCAGCAGGGCUGCUGCCCAUGGCAGCAACUCCUCUUUCUCUUCUUCUCUUCACGUUCUCACACACUCUCACUUCUCUCACACACACUCUCACAAAACAUGCCUCUUUUAUAGGCAAUUCUUGGCAACCUUCUCCAGCAAUAGCAAGGGGACAAUAGGUCCCGAAAUCAUGCCACUAAUUGUGGCAUUAGUGAUGCUUCCACUAAGCCACAAUUAGUGGUGGGGUAUUGCCACUAAAUGACAAUAUCCCAACAGUUUAUGCAUCCAGAGUCUUGGCAACUUGCAUGGAGUCAAGGACAAAAAAUAUAUAGUUUUUUGGCUUUCUGUCAAUCUAGAUCAUCAUUGGAAGAUGAUAACUUAGCUAUUGGUGGAUCAACGUUAAGAACUAAUGCUGAGAUCAUGAAUAAUUUUUAUUUUAUAAAGGUAAUGGAUCUGAUUUAAGAGAUAACACCUGUAUUAAGAACAUAAAUACAUUUAUUUAUGUGCGAUUCUAUUAUUGAACAUAAAUAGAUUUGGGAUUGUUUGUAAAUAUUGACGGGUUAUUUUUUGAAUUAUUUUUUAUUUAUAAAUAUAUUAAAAUUAUUUUUUAUUUAUUUUUAAAAAUUAUUUUUAGUAUAAACUAAUCAAAAUAAUUUUAAAAUAAAAAAAAAUAAAUUUUAAUAAAACAGUGGUUGCACUACUCCUACUCUCCUGGGAUGUAUUGUGUCGUGUCCGCACAGAAAACUCUCUGCAUUCCAUUUAUAAGGUCACAUGGAGUCACGUGUAGUCGAGCGGGUCCCAUGAUGGGGUCCAUCAAAAUUAAGUUGAGAAAAAACAAAAAACAAAAAAAACAAAACCGGGUGAGUUUCCUAGCUUCAAUUAGAUGCUUAGUCACAUCAACAAAUAUUUGAAGACAAAUUCUAGAAGGUAGCAAGGCUAAAGCAUUAGCCAGCAUAGAAAAGAAUAACUUUUUUCUUUUUUUUAAUAAGCCAAUAGUUCAAGAGUGAUUAAGGAAGUGCAAGGCUAGCUGGCAGCUGUCGGACGAGCUCAUCCUUCUCUGUGGCCAUUUGUCAUUAAGCAUUAGGCCAGCUAGAAAGGUUAUGACAUGUGGAUCCGGAUUGACAGAAUUAUGCCACCUGUAUAUUUAUCACUUUCGCACGGAUAAAAGGGAAACUCCGCCCACUAAUUUACAAAUAAAUUACUUCCUCUUCGUAAACUUUAUUGCAUUUACAACGUGUACUAAAAAAUUAGGUCUACAGUAGCAAGAAAAAUCCCAUCCUCGAAUUUAUUUUUUUCAAUUACGACAUUUUAUGCCUAAAUAAAUAAUUAAUUUGUCAAAAUUUGUUAAGAAGAGUCAAGUGAUAAUUUUUGUUUUUUAGAUUUUAAAGAAGUUUAUUGUGUGUUUUUAGAUAUAAAUUAGUUGAAAUUUGAUGUUUAGUUUAAAAAUAAAGCCUAAACUUUUUUACCACUAUUGUGAUAGUCAGGUUAUAGGCAACAAAUGUUACUUCAUCUACAAAAACAUGUGACGCGUCAUUUGCUUACUUUUCUUUUAAAAAAAAAAGGUCACUCGUCCUUUAAAAAAAAGAAUUAUUCUAUGCAUGCAUAUAUGUGUUGGUAGGCCAAUGUGUAUGGGCUUUUUAAGACCUAGAUGCACUGGAUCGAACGAGAAGUAGCAUUAAAUUGAAGAUUUAACAGAGAAUAGAGGGUUAGAUUAAAAGAAUUAUUUUGUGAAAUAGAUCAGCACAAAAUAAUCAAAUUGAAAAAAAAUAAACAAGGUAAAAAAAUAAAAAUUAAAAAAACCAAUUUCUUCACGUGAAUCCACUGUGCAAUUAAGGCUGAGAGUGACUAGAGAUGCAACAGUGGAUUUCCUAGGAAAUUAGUUUUUCUUUUCCUGCCUUGAAUGUUUCGGGUGCCACGUGGAAGGGUUUUUUUUUUUUUUCCUAACCUUCUAAUUAGAAAAUUUAAAAAGAAGUCGCUACCACUAUGAAUUUAAUGUCAAUUUUAAAUAUAAAAUAUAAAGGUUGUUAUUAAUGAUAAACUAUAUUAUAUUUUUCAGUGCUUACCGUAAAACUUCAAAACCCUCUCUUUAAUUUCUCAAGGUAGCUUUUUGUAAUACUAAACAAACGUGUGUCCUUUUUUCCCAUGUAUAACUAUCGUUCUUCUGUCCUAGAAGAAACCAGGGAUCGUUUUGUAAACUAAUUGAAAAAAAAAAUCAAUCUUAGAGCGAAGAUUUUUUCCUUGCUGGUAUAUGUAUUUGUAGCAUAAAUUACAAGCUAAUUUACGCGAUAUUUUAUCUGCAAUAGUCAAUAUAUAUUAAAGUUUGAGGUUGUAUUUGAGUUGUUCUUGAUUUAUAAAUUUUAAAAUAACGAAUUCAUAUAGUUUUAUAAUAGCAAAAUUUAUUUUCUUUUUAAAUUCUUUAUAGCUUGACAAAUUAUUUAUCAUUUUACGAACACCAUUAACUCUUCAUCUUAAUUUUCUCACUUGACUUAUCACUCUUUUUCCACCUUCCAAGUGUCAUCUUCAAAAUCCCCAGUCAAUAUCUCUUUCUUGAUGCAACUCUAUUCUAGAAAUACGUAACCUACCCUUACAAUUAAUUAUACGUGUGAAGGGAGUCUACCCUUACAAUAUCUCUUUUUUAUUUUUAUUAUUAUCAUUAAUUCAAACCAUUUUCUUUUAUUAUCACGCUACACAUGAAUUUAUUUUUUUAACAUGGAUGUUCAGGCUGACUUACACAUAUCUCAACUAAUUUUAUGAAUAUUAAAGCUAACAACCAUAUAAACUUUCAAUAACUAUUAUAUUAAUAAUCACAAAACUCGAAAUUGAUAUUAGAAAAAACAUUAACAUUUUCGUUGCUAAAAAAAGACCAGUUAUUUAACAUGUAUAGCACAAAUGUCACAUCUUCUUCUAUUCUUACAUAGUUAUUUUUAAAAUAAAAUAGUUAUUUAAAUUGAAUCUAUAUUUUUUUUUAUAUUUCACUUUUCACAACACAAUAAAAUGAUUUCUUUGUCUUUAAUAUCAAGAUUUUUUUACAUUGUCUCUGGUGGCUUCUUUAUAUUUUUGUUUUUGUUUUUUUUAUGAUUAUUAUAUAAUUUUAGAGGAAAAUUUUGUGUUUGAAUAAAUAUAAAAAACUUAAAAAUAAAAUGUUGUUAGCAUAUUGUACAUUAAAGGUGCUAAUGAAUAAACAAAUUCAUCGUGUUUAAAAAAAAACAAUCAAAUCAUAGGAUGCUAAGAGUAUUUACCUUUAAUUUUUUUAAAAAAAAAUUCUACAUUUUUUUUUCUAUUUUGUUUACUUCUGUCAAAGAACCAUAUCAACCAAAUAGCUUAAACUAUUAGGUGAGGUCUCAGAAUAUGAUUUAUAUUAUUCUCUAACACACCCCCUCAAGUGAAAGCUUUUUAGGCUUGAAACUUGCACAGACCCACAUUAUCUUGUGCUUAAUUUUUAUCAAAUAAAUGGAGAUGGCGAGAUUCGAACUUGUGACCGCUUGGUCAUCAAGGCUCUGAUACCAUGUCAAAGAAUCAUCUCAACUCAAUAGCUUAAGUUGUUAGAUGAGGUCCUAGGAUAUGAUUUAUAUUAUUCUCAAACAACUUCGAUAAAGUUUUUUAAAUUUAUAUUUUUUAAUGAUUUUACCGUUCAAUAUUGAAUUGAGUUUCUUGAUUGAACUCAAGUCUAUGAUUUAACAAGUUAUAAAUUUAGGAGAUUUAUUCAAGUUUAUUUUUUUUCUUUUUUAGCUCAUGUAUUUGUUUUUCAAUUUUAUCCUUUAAUAUUUUUUUUCUAUAGGAUUUUUCACUAAUUCUGAAAAUAACAUAGGUUAUCUCGAGUAUUUUUAUUUUUUAUUUUUUAAAAAAAUUAUCUUUUUUAAAAAAUAAAUUUUGAUUUUGAAUUAAAUUAAUUUCUUAAAUAUAAACAUGUCAUGCUACUCCAUGAUGUUUUUGUUUUCUUAAAUAUAGCUUUUUUGAGUUAUUUUUUUUAAUUGAUUGGUUUUUAUUAUUAUUAUUAUUAGGCUUCAAUAUUCUAAAAUUAUACUUGUUUUUACCGUAUUAGCAUUAGAGUGUAUCAAAACUUUUUAAAACGUAAAAAAAAUAUUAACAAUUAUAGAAAGUAAACUCAUGAGUGAGAAAAAAAGUUAGAAAUCAUCCCACGUGCUGAGAUCGCGUUAAACAAUGGUCCUCGUCUUCCAGGAUAAUUAAUGCUGAUGUAUUAAAUAUUAGGCGUCACUUGCGUUCGAAGCUGGAAAAGUAAAUGAUAUUUGAUAAUCAAACUAGCCAGAGACCGUGACCUUUUACAACCAAUAAACUUGGCAAAUUAUAUCUUGAUAUUAUCUUCUGUUCAGCAGCAUAUCAUAGUGGGUUGGGUGCUUCAACAGGCAACAGCCUCCUUCAAAUUUGAGAAAGAAGGUUAGCCAUCGAUGGACGUGAAGUGCACCUGGCCAGUAAAGGCUGAGCCUUGGGCAUACUGAGUCCAGUCCCCUCUGUCAGGUCCACCAUUUCCUGGCUAACCCUGUCCCAUUCGAAACACUGAAGUAAUGACCCCAGAGUCAAUCCAGCCAUGCGCAUGGCCAAACCUUCCCCAGGACAACUCCUCCUUCCUGAUCCGAAAGGCAUCAGUUUGAACCCAUCUCUAACUCCCUCGGAACCGUCGAACCUUUCUGGCUUAAAUUUUGCUGCGUCGUCCCAGAUUUUAGGAUCAUUCUGUAUUGCCCAUAUGUUCACCAACAACAUGGUGCCGCGUGGUAUCUGGAACCCUCCUACCACACACUCCUCUGAUGACUCGUGAGGCACUAGCAAUGGGCCUACUGGGUACAUUCGCAUAGUUUCCUUUAUGACGCAGUGUAGAUAAGGGAGCUUAGCCACAUCAGAUUCAUCAAUUAGACGAUCUUGUCCAACAACCUUGUCAAUUUCAUUUUGUGCUUUCUUUAAAAUCAGAGGAUUGUUCAGCAGAAGUGACAAUGCCCACUCCACUGUCCCAGCUGUAGUAUCUGUCCCGGCAGACAGUAGAACCUGCAGCAUAUACGUGAAUUAAAGAAUUAGUGCAUGAAUUCGGACUCCUCAUGAACAGUGGCUGCUAAAUUGUGUGCGCCUUGCUCUUUGAUCAAUAUAUAAAAAUUAAAAUUAAAAUUAAAAUUAAAAUAAAUAGAAGAAAAAAUCAUUAAUUCUAGGACUCUAAUGAGGAAAUAACUUGAAAGUACUAAAAUUAAUGAGAAACUUUUCCCGUCAUUUUUCAUUCUAUAAGACAAUUAAGCCCACCUUCUAAUUCUUCUUGUUUUAUUUUUUGGUAGAUUGUCUCUGAAAGUGAAAUUUAACGCCACCCAGUUCUCACUGUUAGAAGACAGGGAUCUUACCACCAUAAGGUCCUUGAUAGUUUCAUCCUUAUAGUACUCAGGUUCUGAUUCUUGCAGUGUUAGCAAAACCUCAAUCAUGGUCUUGUAAUUUCUCUCAUUAGAAAAACAGCUCUUGUUAUUCCCCAUUCUUCUCCUAGGCUCAUCCACCAACUCUUG
rnacentral:lncRNA from 1 species